CCGCGGUAAUACGAAGGGGGCUAGCGUUGUUCGGAAUUACUGGGCGUAAAGCGCGCGUAGGCGGUGGUCCAUGUCAGAGGUGAAAGCCUGGAGCUCAACUCCAGAAUUGCCUUUAAGACUGCAUCGCUAGAACGUCGGAGAGGUAAGUGGAAUUCCGAGUGUAGAGGUGAAAUUCGUAGAUAUUCGGAAGAACACCAGUGGCGAAGGCGACUUACUGGACGACUGUUGACGCUGAGGUGCGAAAGCGUGGGGAGCAAACAGG
rnacentral:rRNA from 1 species